rnacentral:lncRNA from 1 species
AGAUUGAGAAAAGGAUUGGCGAAUAUUAUGAUCGAGAAAUGUUGGAUAUAAUAAUUCAAACUUAAUUAAAAUAUAGUUAUAGAUAAGUUUAAAUUUUUUAUUUGAUUGUAGUUAGGAUAUAUACUUAUCCAAAGUAAAAUUGGAUUUAUCAUCUGUUAUGAUUUGAUGGCUAUAUAUAGUUAGGCAUGGCUUAAUUAAAAAAUAAGCCAUAGUAGACAUGGCUGCAUGGGGUUGGCUCAGAAUGUAAUUUUGCCUUUUAUUAAUAAAGUAUUAGUUUAGUUAUUUUUUACCUCCUCUAAUAUCUUUUCUUCAUAUUAUUUUGUUCUAUUUUAGAUUUUGGGUUAUAUAAUCGGUAUUAGCACAAAUAUCAGUUCCAACAAGUGUUAUCAGAUAAAAUCACGCUUUUCAACAAGAAAUAUUCAUAUUUUGCCAAUUAU